rnacentral:misc_RNA from 1 species
UUUUAUGUAUGUUACAUCAGAACUUUUGACCGGGUAGACCGAUUUCGACAAAUUUUAUUUUAAUCGAAAGGUGGUGGUGUGUGCCAAUUGGUCCCAUUUAAAUUUAUUUGAGAUCUAACAACUACUUUUCGAAUUAUAUCUAAUAAUGCGUUUUUACUUGACGCUUUUUUCGUCGACCUACGUUGUAUUAUACCGCAUAACUUUCUACUGGAUGUACCGAUUUUGAUAAUUCUUUUUUUGUUGGAAAGGGGAUAUCCCUAGUUUGGUACCGUGAUAAGGAAACC